rnacentral:lncRNA from 1 species
CAUAUUGCAGGUAGCUAUACAAAAACAUGCAUUCAAUCUUGACAAAUCUUAUAAAAUGAUAUACAUAGAUGAUUAAUGAAGAUGGUUUUACUUCCACUGUUCCGGAUUAAGGAAAGGUACAUGUCUUACUUUUCCACGUUCUACAUGUGCUGGUUCCAAGUCUGUCUGAAACCUGUCAUGCAUUUUUUUUGUUUGAUACUGCAUAUCAUAGUUUGUUUUCGUUUGAUAUUUUGUAUGAUAAUCACGCCGUUAGUUUUUAGUUUGAUAUGUUUUACAUUUGUCAUUUCGGGUUUUUUAUAGCUUUCUAUACGGUAUUGGUUUUGCACAUGAUCGAAAGCCAUAAGGUGAACAAAUUUUGUUAAUCUUGUAAGUCAUUUGGUUUAUUGUUGAUAGAGUUGUGUCAUUGGCAACCAUUCGACAUGUUAUUUGCAUAUGGUAAAUAACUGACAAUACCGAAUAAAUUACCUCUCUUUCUUUGAAUUCAUGUAGUUUUAUUUACAAUAUAAUCUAAGUGACUGUAAUGGAAAGCUAAUGCCAUACAUCAACGCACAAUAAUCUGCGAAAGCUUAGAACUGAUUAAGCCCAAACAAGUAUGUGAUGACAUCUUAGACAUGUUUGCUACAUAAAAGACCUAAACAGAUCACUUAAUUAAUUUGUUUUUAAAAUUCUGAAUAGUCGAACGGAUGUAAAUACCAAGUGUAAAGAUUGAAAAUUGACAGACUUACUUGCAUUAUAUUUCAUUGUUAAUCGUUUUUGGCUUUAGCUGCGAGAACUCUCUAAUCGUUCUGUUCACGUGAUACGAUUUUCCAUUCGAAUUAUCAAACACAAUCCGAUUUAAGUGUUCAUUUGAUGCGAUUUUUGUCGAAACAACAUUAUAGGUAACAUAUUGGAUGGACUACAAAUCAGGCGGAAUUCAACGCAUAUCAGUCUAAAAUGUUCGUAUGGCAUGACUCCAAUACCACGAGUUAUCUAGUUAAACGUUCGUUUGAAGUACAAUUGUGUUGUCCAGUCGUUGUAUAUACGUGUUUUGAUAUUUCUCUUAGAAACACACGCCAUGAUACCACAUAUUCAUAAUUUAGAGCAGAUUUAAUUUGCCAUAAUUCGUGUGUUUUCUUAUAUUUCUUUUUUUGAAAACAUUAGUAAAAAAUCAAAUGUACAGUAAGAAUAGAAUUUGAUAAAAAAAAAAAAAAAGUAUUGGUAAUAUGUUAAUACAAAUAACACAAAUACAGUAUUACUAAAAACUAUUAUAUGGAAAUU